UUAAUAGGAAGAGUUAUUAGUACAAACCAUACUAGCAUCAACAUAUAAUAAAUCCAAAAGAGCAGAUGGAGGAUUAUUAACCCAAUUUCGAAGAGGGUACCCGAUACGUUGAGCUUUAGCUAGCCAGUCAGCUACUUUGUUUGUUUCUCGAUUACAGUGGGCUAAAGUGAUACCUGAAGAUUCUUCCAUCUUGCGCUUGGCCCGGUCCACCAAAGGCUGAAUCUCCCAAUUAAGGGUAUCUGAAGAUAGAAUCGCAGCCACUAGUGUAGUACAAUCGGAAUGUAUGAUUAUCUCUCGUUCUGAUCUUUUCGGGGCAAUCUUUGAGGAGACAAAGUCUAGGGUUUCUACCAACGCUUGUGCCUCUGCUAGUUCAGCUGAUUUCGCCUCGAUAGAUUUAGUAAACCCAUUAAUGAUCCUUCCAAAAGUGUCCCUGCAAACACAAGCCACAGCUGCAGAAUAGGGGCGAUGCUGCUGUGAGUUUGAAGCGCUGCCAUCUUCG
rnacentral:lncRNA from 1 species